AUCAUCAAAGCAACAACACCCAUAAAAGAGUGAUUAAAUUUAGUAGAAAAGAAAGAGAUCAGAUAUGGCAGGAAUCAUCAACAAGAUCGGAGAUGCUCUCCACAUCGGAGGAGGCAACAAGGAAGAUGAGCACAAGAAGGAGGAACACAAGAAACACGCCGACGAGCACAAGAGUGGUGAGCACAAGGAGGGUAUCGUUGAUAAGAUCAAAGACAAGAUCCAAGGCGGAGAAGGCCACAGCAGCGGAGACCACAAACAUGACGGUGAGAAGAAAAAGAAGAAGGACAAGAAGGAGAAGAAACAUCAUCAUGAUGGUCACCACAGCAGCAGCAGUGACAGCGACAGCGAUUAAGGUAAGGAGGACGUGAGGAGGACUAUUAAUGCUGCUGUUGUCUGUUCCUAUCAUCUCACUCUUGACAGAGAGGGGUAAAUGAAAAGAGAAGAGUGCAUCUGUCUUCCUUUGUUAUCUAAUUUUCUUUUAAUUGUCAUUUUCUUCUCUUAUGUUUUAUGUUCUCUUGUCAGAAAAAAAUAAACCUCAUGUAUCGUAAUCUAUAUUAAUAAAAUCGAGUUUCCUAACUUUAUAUUUAGCUUUGAAAUUUGUUUCUCAAGAAGAUCAAUACCUGCCAAAAUUAAAAACAUAGAAAAUAAAGAAAAUAUCAUAACUUCCAGAAAAAGUACCCAAGGAAAAAGGAUUUCAUUUAAAUAAGAGUUACAGUAGAUAACUAUGAAAACUUAUUUAAUUAGGCGGAACGUACUAUUCCAUUUUUCAUAAUGAUGACGUUGUCCCUAUGUAGCCGGUCACGUAUAGGAAGAGAAAAGUCUGACACAAACACACUUGUGCAUUAAUUCUGAAAAAACGUGAAUUUUUUUUCUUCAAAACUUUCAAUGUUUUGCAAUAAACUAGAGAGUUCAUAUGUUUAAUGUUUAUCUUUCUCUUACUCGUUCUUUCAUCUUCCUAACAUUCUCUCGGUUUUCAAUCUCAGAUUUUACAUGAUAUUCUCUUCUUGUUUUUCAAAUCUUAUAUCUUUCAUCUUUGUGUUUCCUCUCUUUUUGUUCUCUGUUUAUUGAAAAAAAAAGCUCUGAUCUCAACAAAUACUAAUUUCAUGGCUAACCAGAGCUAGAGAUGGCAGAGGAAAACGCGAUUGUGUCUCCGAGGCGACGCAAGUCUCAGAACUAAGCAAAUCUGAUCUAAGAAAAUAAUGAUGAAAAGGGAAGGAAAAAUGGUGGUGUGACGUCAAGCGUGGUGCGGUGAUGAGAAUCUGAAGUUAAGAAGUUAGAGAAGAAGAUAUGUCGGAGAAGAAGAAGAUGAGUCGGACAAGUAUGGUUCCAAGCUCGCCGUCGUCGUUACCUAUCUCGAGUAUCGACUUCAGCUCUCCCUUUCGGUGAUGCAAGGGAGCUUGAGUGCGGUGGAGGAAGCUGAAGAAGCUCGUUGGCUGUGGUGGUUGAAGGCGGCAUUGUUAGGGGUUCCACUUUAAUCUAAAGAGGAAUGAUGACGACAAAGAUUAACGACCGGAUAAUCUUUUUGUUAAUCGUAAAUUUGCUAACUUUGAUUUACUGAAGCUAGCUUUGAUCUAAUUCGAAUAUUUUUUGCUAACUGAAAAUUUGUUGAGCAUGUUAAUGUUAAGUAAUUCAAAAACACAAACUGUCUAUAAACCCUUUAUUUUGGAUGCUAAACGACUAGUAGUUGGUCUUGUAAUUUAAAAGCCGCAUAUAUAUUUUGGAUCAGUCUUGUUUGACAAUAACUACAAUAAUAUUUAUGAAUGCAUAUUAUAACUGGAAAAUUAAUAGAUACUUAAGAUUAAGACGGUAAUAACCAGAAAAUGAUUUUUGUAUCUGUAAUAUGAAUGUUAAUUAUAGCCGGUUUAAAAAUUAUGUUUUUAAGUUGAUUUAUUUUAUGGGAUAGCAUAAUGUGACACAUGAGUUUUAACAUUGUGUGUUAACAUUGUCAGAGUUUUUUUCA